rnacentral:rRNA from 1 species
CAGUCGCCGCGGGAAUACGAAGGGGGCAAGCGUUGUUCGGAAUUACUGGGCGUAAAGCGCACGUAGGCGGAUAUUUAAGUCAGGGGUGAAAUCCCGCAGCUCAACUGCGGAACUGCCUUUGAUACUGGGUAUCUUGAGUAUGGAAGAGGUUAGUGGAAUUGCGAGUGUAGAGGUGAAAUUCGUAGAUAUUCGCAGGAACACCAGUGGCGAAAGCGGCUUACUGGACCAUAACUGACGCUGAGGCGCGAAAGCUAGGGGAGCAAACAGGAUUAGAUACCCCGGUAGUCCCUGUCUCUUAUAA